AUUGAACGCUGGCGGCAGGCUUAACACAUGCAAGUCGAGCGGGGGAAGGUAGCUUGCUACCGAACCUAGCGGCGGACGGGUGAGUAAUGCCUAGGAAUCUGCCUAUUAGUGGGGGAUAACUCGGGGAAACUCGGGCUAAUACCGCAUACGUCCUACGGGAGAAAGUGGGGGAUCUUCGGACCUCACGCUAAUAGAUGAGCCUAGGUCGGAUUAGCUAGUUGGUGAGGUAACGGCUCACCAAGGCGACGAUCCGUAGCUGGUCUGAGAGGAUGAUCAGCCACACUGGAACUGAGACACGGUCCAGACUCCUACGGGAGGCAGCAGUGGGGAAUAUUGGACAAUGGGCGAAAGCCUGAUCCAGCCAUGCCGCGUGUGUGAAGAAGGUCUUCGGAUUGUAAAGCACUUUAAGUUGGGAGGAAGGUCUGUAAGCUAAUAUCUUGCAGUCUUGACGUUACCAACAGAAUAAGCACCGGCUAACUCUGUGCCAGCAGCCGCCGUAAUAC
rnacentral:rRNA from 1 species